rnacentral:rRNA from 1 species
GACGAACGCUGGCGGCGUGCUUAACACAUGCAAGUCGAACGGAAAGGCCCUGCUUGCAGGGUACUCGAGUGGCGAACGGGUGAGUAACACGUGGGUGAUCUGCCCCGCACUUCGGGAUAAGCCUGGGAAACUGGGUCUAAUACCGGAUAGGAGCCAUUUUUAGUGUGAUGGUUGGAAAGUUUUUUCGGUGUAGGAUGAGCUCGCGGCCUAUCAGCUUGUUGGUGGGGUAAUGGCCUACCAAGGCGGCGACGGGUAGCCGGCCUGAGAGGGUGGACGGCCACAUUGGGACUGAGAUACGGCCCAGACUCCUACGGGAGGCAGCAGUGGGGAAUAUUGCACAAUGGGCGCAAGCCUGAUGCAGCGACGCCGCGUGGGGGAGGACGGCCUUCGGGUUGUAAACUCCUUUCGCUAGGGACGAAGCUUUUUGUGACGGUACCUAGAUAAGAAGCACCGGCUAACUACGUG